rnacentral:rRNA from 1 species
GAACGCUGGCGGCGUGCUUAACACAUGCAAGUCGAACGAUGAAGCCCUUCGGGGUGGAUUAGUGGCGAACGGGUGAGUAACACGUGGGCAAUCUGCCCUGCACUCUGGGACAAGCCCUGGAAACGGGGUCUAAUACCGGAUAUGACCGUCUUGGGCAUCCUUGACGGUGUAAAGCUCCGGCGGUGCAGGAUGAGCCCGCGGCCUAUCAGCUUGUUGGUGAGGUAACGGCUCACCAAGGCGACGACGGGUAGCCGGCCUGAGAGGGCGACCGGCCACACUGGGACUGAGACACGGCCCAGACUCCUACGGGAGGCAGCAGUGGGGAAUAUUGCACAAUGGGCGAAAGCCUGAUGCAGCGACGCCGCGUGAGGGAUGACGGCCUUCGGGUUGUAAACCUCUUUCAGCAGGGAAGAAGCGAAAGUGACGGUACCUGCAGAAGAAGCGCCGGCUAACUACGUGCCAGCAGCCGCGGUAAUACGUAGGGCGCAAGCGUUGUCCGGAAUUAUUGGGCGUAAAGAGCUCGUAGGCGG